UUGCGGCGAUAUUACGUCUAAACACCGGUUUCCAUAUGAUCACCGAAGGUAAGCAACGUCGAACCUGGUCAGUAACUAUAUGGGUGACCGCUUGGAAAUACAAGUUGAUGUAAG